rnacentral:rRNA from 1 species
AGUGAACGCUGGCGGUAGGCCUAACACAUGCAAGUCGAACGGCAGCACAGUAAGAGCUUGCUCUUACGGGUGGCGCGUGGCGGACCGUUGAGGAAUACUUCGGAAUCUACUUUUUCGUGGGUGCUAACGUAGGGUAACUUACUCUGAUACCGCAUACGACCUACGGGUGAAAGCAGGGGAUCUUCUGACCUUGCGCUAGUGGAUGAGCCGAUGUCGGAUUAGCUAGUUGGCAGGGGAAAGGCCCACCAAGGCGACGAUCCGUAGCUGGUCUGAGAGGAAGAGCAGCCACACUGAGAGGGAGACACGGCCCAGAAUCCUACGAGAGGCAGCAGUGGGGGAUAGUGGAAAAUGGGGGAAAUCAUGAGCCAGUUAUGCCGCGUGAGUUAUGAAGGCAGUAGGGAAAAAAAGCUCGUUUACCCGCGAUGAUAAUGACGGUACCGAGAGAAUAAGCUCCGGCUAACUCCGUG